rnacentral:rRNA from 1 species
AGCGUACACGGUGGAUGCCCUGGCAGUCAGAGGCGAUGAAGGACGUGCUAAUCUGCGAUAAGCGUCGGUAAGGUGAUAUGAACCGUUAUAACCGGCGAUUUCCGAAUGGGGAAACCCAGUGUGUUUCGACACACUAUCAUUAACUGAAUCCAUAGGUUAAUGAGGCGAACCGGGGGAACUGAAACAUCUAAGUACCCCGAGGAAAAGAAAUCAACCGAGAUUCCCCCAGUAGCGGCGAGCGAACGGGGAGCAGCCCAGAGCCUGAAUCAGUGUGUGUGUUAGUGGAAGCGUCUGGAAAGGCGCGCGAUACAGGGUGACAGCCCCGUACACAAAAAUGCACAUGCUGUGAGCUCGAUGAGUAGGGCGGGACACGUGGUAUCCUGUCUGAAUAUGGGGGGACCAUCCUCCAAGGCUAAAUACUCCUGACUGACCGAUAGUGAACCAGUACCGUGAGGGAAAGGCGAAAAGAACCCCGGCGAGGGGAGUGAAAAAGAACCUGAAACCGUGUACGUACAAGCAGUGGGAGCCUCUUUAUGGGGUGACUGCGUACCUUUUGUAUAAUGGGUCAGCGACUUAUAUUCUGUAGCAAGGUUAACCGAAUAGGGGAGCCGAAGGGAAACCGAGUCUUAACUGGGCGUUAAGUUGCAGGGUAUAGACCCGAAACCCGGUGAUCUAGCCAUGGGCAGGUUGAAGGUUGGGUAACACUAACUGGAGGACCGAACCGACUAAUGUUGAAAAAUUAGCGGAUGACUUGUGGCUGGGGGUGAAAGGCCAAUCAAACCGGGAGAUAGCUGGUUCUCCCCGAAAGCUAUUUAGGUAGCGCCUCGUGAAUUCAUCUCCGGGGGUAGAGCACUGUUUCGGCAAGGGGGUCAUCCCGACUUACCAACCCGAUGCAAACUGCGAAUACCGGAGAAUGUUAUCACGGGAGACACACGGCGGGUGCUAACGUCCGUCGUGAAGAGGGAAACAACCCAGACCGCCAGCUAAGGUCCCAAAGUCAUGGUUAAGUGGGAAACGAUGUGGGAAGGCCCAGACAGCCAGGAUGUUGGCUUAGAAGCAGCCAUCAUUUAAAGAAAGCGUAAUAGCUCACUGGUCGAGUCGGCCUGCGCGGAAGAUGUAACGGGGCUAAACCAUGCACCGAAGCUGCGGCAGCGACGCUUAUGCGUUGUUGGGUAGGGGAGCGUUCUGUAAGCCUGUGAAGGUGUGCUGUGAGGCAUGCUGGAGGUAUCAGAAGUGCGAAUGCUGACAUAAGUAACGAUAAAGCGGGUGAAAAGCCCGCUCGCCGGAAGACCAAGGGUUCCUGUCCAACGUUAAUCGGGGCAGGGUGAGUCGACCCCUAAGGCGAGGCCGAAAGGCGUAGUCGAUGGGAAACAGGUUAAUAUUCCUGUACUUGGUGUUACUGCGAAGGGGGGACGGAGAAGGCUAUGUUGGCCGGGCGACGGUUGUCCCGGUUUAAGCGUGUAGGCUGGUUUUCCAGGCAAAUCCGGAAAAUCAAGGCUGAGGCGUGAUGACGAGGCACUACGGUGCUGAAGCAACAAAUGCCCUGCUUCCAGGAAAAGCCUCUAAGCAUCAGGUAACAUCAAAUCGUACCCCAAACCGACACAGGUGGUCAGGUAGAGAAUACCAAGGCGCUUGAGAGAACUCGGGUGAAGGAACUAGGCAAAAUGGUGCCGUAACUUCGGGAGAAGGCACGCUGAUAUGUAGGUGAAGUCCCUUGCGGAUGGAGCUGAAAUCAGUCGAAGAUACCAGCUGGCUGCAACUGUUUAUUAAAAACACAGCACUGUGCAAACACGAAAGUGGACGUAUACGGUGUGACGCCUGCCCGGUGCCGGAAGGUUAAUUGAUGGGGUCAGCGCAAGCGAAGCUCUUGAUCGAAGCCCCGGUAAACGGCGGCCGUAACUAUAACGGUCCUAAGGUAGCGAAAUUCCUUGUCGGGUAAGUUCCGACCUGCACGAAUGGCGUAAUGAUGGCCAGGCUGUCUCCACCCGAGACUCAGUGAAAUUGAACUCGCUGUGAAGAUGCAGUGUACCCGCGGCAAGACGGAAAGACCCCGUGAACCUUUACUAUAGCUUGACACUGAACAUUGAGCCUUGAUGUGUAGGAUAGGUGGGAGGCUUAGAAGUGUGGACGCCAGUCUGCAUGGAGCCGACCUUGAAAUACCACCCUUUAAUGUUUGAUGUUCUAACGUGGACCCGUGAUCCGGGUUGCGGACAGUGUCUGGUGGGUAGUUUGACUGGGGCGGUCUCCUCCUAAAGAGUAACGGAGGAGCACGAAGGUUGGCUAAUCCUGGUCGGACAUCAGGAGGUUAGUGCAAUGGCAUAAGCCAGCUUGACUGCGAGCGUGACGGCGCGAGCAGGUGCGAAAGCAGGUCAUAGUGAUCCGGUGGUUCUGAAUGGAAGGGCCAUCGCUCAACGGAUAAAAGGUACUCCGGGGAUAACAGGCUGAUACCGCCCAAGAGUUCAUAUCGACGGCGGUGUUUGGCACCUCGAUGUCGGCUCAUCACAUCCUGGGGCUGAAGUAGGUCCCAAGGGUAUGGCUGUUCGCCAUUUAAAGUGGUACGCGAGCUGGGUUUAGAACGUCGUGAGACAGUUCGGUCCCUAUCUGCCGUGGGCGCUGGAGAACUGAGGGGGGCUGCUCCUAGUACGAGAGGACCGGAGUGGACGCAUCACUGGUGUUCGGGUUGUCAUGCCAAUGGCACUGCCCGGUAGCUAAAUGCGGAAGAGAUAAGUGCUGAAAGCAUCUAAGCACGAAACUUGCCCCGAGAUGAGUUCUCCCUGACUCCUUGA